CACUGACGUCGCGACGCAUAUCAAUAAGCGGAGGAAAAGAAACUAACAAGGAUUCCCUUAGUAACAGCGAGUGAAGCGGGAAGAGCUCAAAUUUGAAAUCUUCAAGGUUCUACCUUGACGAAUUGUAGUUUAAAGAAGUGUUUUCUGUUAGUGGAGUGGCAAAAGUUCUUUGGAAUAGGACAUCAUAGAGGGUGAGAAUCCCGUAUUUGGUCAUUCCUUCUAGCUUUGUGAUACACUUUCAAAGAGUCGGAUUGUUUGGGAAAUGCAGUCCAAAAUGGGUGGUAAAUUUCAUCUAAAGCUAAAUAUUGGCGAGAGACCGAUAGCGAACAAGUACCGUGAGGGAAAGAUGAAAAGAACUUUGAAAAGAGAGUUAAACAGUACGUGAAAUUGUCAAAAGGGAAGCGUUUGACACCAGUGUUGUUUUUCCGAAAAUCAAUUAUAAAUGUUUUGUUUCUGAGGAGUGAUGACUUCAUCGGCUUCCUUCUCUCUUCACGAAACUUUUGUAAUGCACUUUUCGGUUAACAAGUCAACAUCAAUUUCUUUUGUUGUAAAAGAGUAUUCGGAAGGUGGCUUUCUUUUCGGAGAAAGUGUUUAUAGCCCUAUACUUCUACAAUCGGAGAGAUUGAGGUCUGCAGCGUAGAUCCUUCGGGGUUAGAUACACUUGUGCUAAGUUAUAGCUUUUCAUAGACAACUUGUUGACUAUGUUUAGUCAUGCGGCUUACUCGCUUAUGCUAUUUUACCUACGCUUAGGAUGUUGAGUCGUAGAGCACGCAG
rnacentral:rRNA from 1 species